AGAGUUUGAUCCUGGCUCAGAACGAACGCUGGCGGCGUGGAUAAGACAUGCAAGUCGAACGAGAGAAUUGCUAGCUUGCUAAUAAUUCUCUAGUGGCGCACGGGUGAGUAACACGUGAGUAACCUGCCCCCGAGAGCGGGAUAGCCCUGGGAAACUGGGAUUAAUACCGCAUAGUAUCGAAAGAUUAAAGCAGCAAUGCGCUUGGGGAUGGGCUCGCGGCCUAUUAGUUAGUUGGUGAGGUAACGGCUCACCAAGGCGAUGACGGGUAGCCGGUCUGAGAGGAUGUCCGGCCACACUGGAACUGAGACACGGUCCAGACACCUACGGGUGGCAGCAGUCGAGAAUCAUUCACAAUGGGGGAAACCCUGAUGGUGCGACGCCGCGUGGGGGAAUGAAGGUCUUCGGAUUGUAAACCCCUGUCAUGUGGGAGCAAAUUAAAAAGAUAGUACCACAAGAGGAAGAGACGGCUAACUCUGUGCCAGCAGCCGCGGUAAUACAGAGGUCUCAAGCGUUGUUCGGAAUCACUGGGCGUAAAGCGUGCGUAGGCUGUUUCGUAAGUUGUGUGUGAAAGGCGCGGGCUCAACCCGCGGACGGCACAUGAUACUGCGAGACUAGAGUAAUGGAGGGGGAACCGGAAUUCUCGGUGUAGCAGUGAAAUGCGUAGAUAUCGAGAGGAACACUCGUGGCGAAGGCGGGUUCCUGGACAUUAACUGACGCUGAGGCACGAAGGCCAGGGGAGCGAAAGGGAUUAGAUACCCCUGUAGUCCUGGCAGUAAACGGUGCACGCUUGGUGUGCGGGGAAUCGACCCCCUGCGUGCCGGAGCUAACGCGUUAAGCGUGCCGCCUGGGGAGUACGGUCGCAAGAUUAAAACUCAAAGAAAUUGACGGGGACCCGCACAAGCGGUGGAGUAUGUGGCUUAAUUCGAUGCAACGCGAAGAACCUUACCUGGGCUUGACAUGUAAUGAACAACAUGUGAAAGCAUGCGACUCUUCGGAGGCGUUACACAGGUGCUGCAUGGCCGUCGUCAGCUCGUGUCGUGAGAUGUUUGGUUAAGUCCAGCAACGAGCGCAACCCCUGUUGCCAGUUACCAGCACGUGAAGGUGGGGACUCUGGCGAGACUGCCCAGAUCAACUGGGAGGAAGGUGGGGACGACGUCAGGUCAGUAUGGCCCUUAUGCCCAGGGCUGCACACGUACUACAAUGCCCAGUACAGAGGGGGCCGAAGCCGCGAGGCGGAGGAAAUCCUAAAAACUGGGCCCAGUUCGGACUGUAGGCUGCAACCCGCCUACACGAAGCCGGAAUCGCUAGUAACGGCGCAUCAGCUACGGCGCCGUGAAUACGUUCCCGGGUCUUGUACACACCGCCCGUCA
rnacentral:rRNA from 1 species